AAUUCUCUGCUCAGUGAUUAGAGAAGUCUGCAGACAAGCAGCAAUUGCUGCAAACAGUAGAGUCUUGAAGAUGAACCAGAGAAUUCAUCAUUUCAACUUGAGGAAGCUAUGAUUGACAAGCAAACAAAAUCCCUGAAAUUUAAGGAAUUAUUUCAUCAACUCCUGAAAUGCAAAACCCGUGGCAAGAGAGAAAAGGCAGUCUUGUGACUGCACCUCUGACCUAGAGGACAAGCUUUCUCCAAGUAUGAUUUCAUUCAAGUAGUGAGAGCAAGAGCUGGAUUAAGAAACAAAAAGAUUUGCCUUAGGCAAGCAGGUGUCUGUAUUUCUCAUGACCCAGCUUUUUGGUGAGAGGGAAACUGCUUUCACAGAGGAACAUUGUGAUUCAGAACUUUUAACAAUGAAGUGGCAC